CCAGCAGCCAGAGAGGCAGAAGCUCCUGGAGUAAUGAUGCGAGAAGCAGCGAGAACCCCAGGCACCACUACAUAUGCAUGGGUAGAUCCAAGGUGAAGAGGGCUGCAGCCACACACCAUUUUAGUUGUGACACCUGUACAAUGAAGUCUUUUGAGUUCACUGGCUGGUCUAUGUGGCUGCUGGAGCCUGUGCUGGUGCAUCUCCAGAACCUAAGGGGGCCUGAGCAUUCAGCACCUGGCAAGAUCAUGUUUUAUGACUUUGGCAAGGAGCAGACAGAGUGAAUCCCAAGCGAACUGAGAGAAGUCCUGAGAAAUCCACUAUAUUUAUGUUUCACUUAUGCUAGGUGUCUGAACAAUAAUGAAAUGCAGAAACAUAGCAAGUGAUGUGAGCACAUAUGUAUUAGUGAUAUAUUCCAACAUGUAAGUUCAUAAACAAUAAAGCAUACGGUUAAUAAUUUAAAUAUAAUGAUUUAAAAUUAUUAUAUUCUUAGAUAUGCUUACCACAUUAUAUAGCUUUAUGUUCUAAAUAUUUACCCUGAAAGUAGUUUAAGAAUGUAUAUAGCUCAUAUCUGAAAAACCUUAACUAUAAGUCAAGAAAAAAAAUGAAGAAUAUUGAAAUAAAUUGCAGAAUUAAACCUGUUCUGUAUAUGUUGCUUCUGUGAAAAGGUCAAAUGAAACAAAAGCUUAAAUGAUAAAAUGUUGUUAGAAAUGUAUUAACAAAGGCAACUUUUAAUUAUGGCA